rnacentral:rRNA from 1 species
GUGGGGAAUAUUGGACAAUGGGCGAAAGCCUGAUCCAGCCAUGCCGCGUGUGUGAAGAAGGUCUUCGGAUUGUAAAGCACUUUAAGUUGGGAGGAAGGGCAGUAAGUUAAUACCUUGCUGUUUUGACGUUACCGACAGAAUAAGCACCGGCUAACUUCGUGCCAGCAGCCGCGGUAAUACGAAGGGUGCAAGCGUUAAUCGGAAUUACUGGGCGUAAAGCGCGCGUAGGUGGUUUUGUAAGUUGGAGGUGAAAUCCCCGGGCUCAACCUGGGAACUGCAUCCAAAGCUGUAUGACUAGAGUACGGUAGAGGGUAGUGGAAUUUCCUGUGUAGCGGUGAAAUGCGUAGAUAUAGGAAGGAACACCAGUGGCGAAGGCGACUACCUGGACUGAUACUGACACUGAGGUGCGAAAGCGUGGGGAGCAAACAGGAUUAGAUACCCUUGUAGUCC